CCUACGGGAGGCAGCCGUGAGGAAUAUUGGUCAAUGGACGCAAGUCUGAACCAGCCAUGCCGCGUGCAGGAUGACGGCUCUAUGAGUUGUAAACUGCUUUUGUACGAGGGUAAACCCCGAUACGUGUAUCGGGUUGAAAGUAUCGUACGAAUAAGGAUCGGCUAACUCCGUGCCAGCAGCCGCGGUAAUACGGAGGAUCCGAGCGUUAUCCGGAUUUAUUGGGUUUAAAGGGUGCGUAGGCGGUUUGAUAAGUUAGAGGUGAAAUGUCGGGGCUCAACCCCGAAACUGCCUCUAAUACUGUUGGACUAGAGAUCGUAUGCAGCAGGCGGAAUGUGUAGUGUAGCGGUGAAAUGCAUAGAUAUUACACAGAACACCGAUUGCGAAGGCAGCUUGCUAGGCCGGAUCUGACACUGAUGCACGAAAGCGUGGGGAUCGAACAGGAUUAGAUACCCCAGUAGUC
rnacentral:rRNA from 1 species